rnacentral:rRNA from 1 species
AUGGCAGGACCUAACAACCCGGGGAAGAGCGUGAUGGAUUUAGGGAAUAGCGGCGGCGGCGCCAUGGUUGUACAUCGGCGCGUCGUCCGUGACACCGGCGGGGCCUGGCCCAUGCUGACGCGCACGAACUACGCUGACUGGGCCCUCCUGAUGCAAGUCAUGCUGGAGGCGCGCCAGCUCUGGGUUGCCGUCAACGACGGGACCACGGAGCGAGAAACAGAUCGCAUGGCAAUGGAGUGCCUGUUGCAAUCGGUGCCGCCGGAGAUGGUAUCCACGCUCGCCGUCGAGCCCACGGUGAAGGACGCCUGGGGCACGAUUAAGACGAUGCGACUGGGUGUGGCGCGCGUUCGUGAGGCCAAGGCGACGUCUCUGCGCUGCUAG